GGAGCCGCCGCCGGGGCCGCCCGCCCCGCUCACCCCGGCCCCGGCAUCGGCCGCCGCGGCCUUAUGGGGCAGGGGCUUCUUUUUUUCUUUUUUUUUUUUUUAUCGGGGUUUUCUUGAAAGUGAAUUUAGACCCGAACUCACUCCCACCGUCACGUGGUGCCGAAAUUGGGAACAGGAGCAGAAUAAAAAGUAAACUGGGGUCAACCUCGUAAUGAACCGUUUUCCCACUCACUCCUACGGAAAAAAAAAUAAACGAAAAAACCCCAAAAAACCCGCCCGGGCCGGGGGGUCGCGAGCGAGGAGGCGGCUGGCAGCUCCCGGAGGCGCCGUCGGGCCGAGCCGGGUGGCGGCGGCAGGUUAACCCUUCGCCGACACGCCUGAGCGACACCGGAGAGGGGACCCCACAGCGCCGGGGCCGGGAAAAAUUAUGGGCUUUUCCAGCUACCGCUUGCAAGCCGCCAGCCCCGGGCGUCCGGCGUGAGCCCGGCGCGGCCAGAGCGGCCUCUUCGCUCCGAAAGUCUGCAAAACGCAGAGCAUCACCUGCCCCCUGCGCUGAAACCUGCACCGACGACGCUACAGAUUUCCCUAUCACGGCUUCUAUAUCUUUCUUCUUAACAAGGAGGGGAAAAAAAAUACCCAAGUAUUUUUUAUAUUCCUAAUAAAUUGAAAAAAUGCUUUAUGUUUUCAA